UGAAAUCGCUGUGAAGAUGCAGUGUACCCGCGGCUAGACGGAAAGACCCCGUGAACCUUUACUACAGCUUGGCACUGAACAUUGAACCUACAUGUGUAGGAUAGGUGGGAGGCUAUGAAGACGUGACGCCAGUUGCGUUGGAGCCGUCCUUGAAAUACCACCCUUGUAUGUUUGAUGUUCUAACUUAGACCCAUUAUCUGGGUUGAGGACAGUGCCUGGUGGGUAGUUUGACUGGGGCGGUCUCCUCCCAAAGAGUAACGGAGGAGCACGAAGGUGGGCUAAUCACGGUUGGACAUCGUGAGGUUAGUGCAAUGGCAUAAGCCCGCUUAACUGCGAGAAUGACGGUUCGAGCAGGUGCGA
rnacentral:rRNA from 1 species